rnacentral:rRNA from 1 species
UACGUAGGGUGCAAGCGUUGUCCGGAAUUAUUGGGCGUAAAGAGCUCGUAGGCGGUCUGUCGCGUCUGCUGUGAAAACUCAGGGCUUAACCCUGAGCUUGCAGUGGGUACGGGCAGACUAGAGUGCGGUAGGGGAGACUGGAACUCCUGGUGUAGCGGUGAAAUGCGCAGAUAUCAGGAGGAACACCGAUGGCGAAGGCAGGUCUCUGGGCAUUAACUGACGCUGAGGAGCGAAAGCAUGGGGAGCGAACAGG